UCCCUGGUGGCUCAGACAGUAAAGAAUCUGCCUGUAAUGCAGGAGACCUGGGUUCAUUCCCUGGCUUGGGAA
rnacentral:tRNA from 1 species